rnacentral:rRNA from 1 species
UACGUAGGUGGCAAGCGUUGUCCGGAUUUAUUGGGUUUAAAGGGUGCGUAGGCGGUUCUAUAAGUCAGUGGUGAAAUCCGGCAGCUCAACUGUCGAUGUGCCAUUGAUACUGCAGAACUUGAGUACAGACGAGGUAGGCGGAAUUGACGGUGUGGCGGUGAAAUGCUUAGAUAUCGUCAAGAACACCGAUAGCGAAGGCAGCUUACUAGGCUGUAACUGACGCUGAUGCACGAAAGUGUGGGGAUCAAACAGG